GACUUGAAAUAAUAAAAGUGUUUAUGUUAAUAACUUCUACUGUCGAGAUCAGUUACUUAAAAGUAUUUACGCGUUGCUGGUUGUUGGGCAUUUUCUGAAAUUGGAAAUCAACUGCAAAGCACAGUGAAUUAAGUGCAAAGGAUAAAACAGGAUGACAUCUUUGGGAGCCUGGGUAGCGCUGACCGAUUUCAGAUGCCCUGUUAGAGGAUGCCCCUCCACGCGUGGAGUGAACUGGGUGUGCUCGAAGGAUGGAGAUCAGGUGUAUAUCAACGCUCUCGGAAAGAUGGAGUGUUACCAUGGCACACAUAGUGGUGACAUUUGCUCAUGGGGUUGGAACUGUGGUCGCGGCACACAUCGUGGCGAGUACCGACGGGCAGAUUUUGAAGAUCUAACAUUUGCUUUGUCCCAGUCGGUGCAGUUUAUGAGUAAAACGGGAUCUCAGUGGGUUGCAAAUCUGAUGAAAGAGCUCGGGAAGCAGUUUAGCAAAUAAUGGGUCAGUUACACAUAUUUAGACGGAAAUGACAUCAUCCUACAACAAAUACAAAGUAUUUUUUAUUCAGACGACGUUGCCACGUAACCGAAAUGUGUUUAACAUUAACAAUUAUGUUCGCUUAAGUCAUAUGUGGAUUUGAGUCAAGAAAUAUUUUUUAGUCAGAUUUAAUACCUGUUCAAAAUGUGCUAUGACAGCAUCUUUCUUUGAAAGUAUCAUAGUCCAGCAUCAAAAUACGCUAUUAUAAUUUUUCUCUGA